GACGGCGACGAAGACGACGUCAUCAUCACCACCAACAUCAACAUAGUCAUUUACAAUAACAACAAACAAGCAACCAGCAGCCAAAGCAGAGGUAAUUGUUAAUGUAAACGUUGUGUGUUACAAACAAACGAAAAGAAAAACAAAUAAAACAAAAACAACAAGAAAGAAUCCUUGUGUAUAUUUCAUGAAAACAUAUGUAUGUGUGUCAAUGUAUGUGCUUUAAUUACAAACAAUUUCAAUAACAACAACGACAAAAACAAAACAACAAAAUAAUUCUUAAAAAAAUAUCACAUAGUUCUUGUUGUGUGUUACUCUUUAAAAUUGCGCUCUCUUGCUCUGUCACUGCAGUAAUAAACAACGAACGAACAACAACAACAAACACCGAAAAAAUUUAAAUCAUCACCGAGCUGCUGUGGUCGGGGUUUGUUUGUUAUUUCCUGUGUUUGCGCCAUGAAUGUCAUCAUUAAGUCAUCCAUCGAUGGAUAAACGGAUUAAAAACGAGGAAUUUAAUUGAAUCGAUCGCCGGAGUAUAUCGCAAAGCAAAGCCCGGCAUAAUAACACACCGGGUCUAGGUAUUGGCAUAGCAACGAAUCUAUCCAACCAUCCGCAAUAUUUAUUGUGACACAGAGCGUCGACGAACGAGACAGUAUUCAAGGAUAUAAGCGAGAAACACGUGUACGAUACGUCUGACUUUUUGGAAUAAUAGCAGCGAUAGCAGCAGCGUUAACGUUAGCGGCGACAGCUUACACAGCAAUCCAGCCCAGCAGUUCUUAUGACAGUUCAAUGAUUUUCAUUGCCAUCGUCGGAGCGGAACACCUAUGAGGAUGACAAAGAGGAGGUGUUGAGUUUUUUUUUUUUUUUUUUGAAAGGAAGAACAAAAAACGAAAGCGAACGCCGUCAAGCAAAACGAAAACGUUUAUUGAUAUUUGAUGCCAUUUGGAUGUGGCCAUUUGCCAAGAAGAAGGAAUCUUUCAGCAAUGACAUCAUCAGCAUCCAAGAUAACGAAUCACAGCGCCUUGUUCUGCAAUAAUCAAGUGACAAAUACCAUCAGAUAAUUCUCUCCACGACGAUACCUUGAGAGAAACAAAUAGAGGCGCUAUAGUUGGCAUUGGUGGUGGUAUCUCGAGUGUUUGUGGUCGGCUUGUGCGGUGGGUCAUAGGUCACGUUGUUGUGUGCCGGUGUGUUGUGGUGUGGUGUGUUGGGCCAACGUGCGACUGACUGCGAAAAGAACGCAAAGAAGAAAACAAAACGAGGCAGGCCACCUAUCAAGGUUUUUUUCGAAUGUCUGCUGUGUCACCUAUCUCAGUGUUAAUUAUAUUAAAGUUGAGGAGCGAGAUUUUUUCCAAAACUGUUCUGCGACCAAAACUAGCAAUCCAAAGAUCAUCACUUAUUGUCACAAGGGAAACAAGGAAUUGAAAUCCCCCCGCUCGUCCCAACAUCUUCGUUGACAUCACAAGCUCAGAAACCACAAAUCAGAUUUUUCCUUCUACGACUCCAAUUGUUCUUUAAAAUUUGUAUGACUAUUCCAUCUCUCGAUCUGUGCAAUUGAUACCAAAUAUAUAUUUCUGAAAUUAAACGCAAAACCAACAAUCAGCUCUAGAUCAAAUCACAAAACGCUUUGCGAUUAUUCGAUUGAAACGAAUUAAAAAAGAAGCAACCAAAAAAAAUCCCUCCACUGGAAGAAGAAAGUAAAAUUACGCAUCCUCUUUUUUCUACGAUAAUUCUAAGGGAAAAAUACGGAACAGCAAACGAAAGAACAUCCCAAAAAACAAAACAAAAAAACUUGACUGAUAGUUUAAUUAAUUAUUAAAAAAAAACAAAAACUUCUUUUUUUGUAUAACAACGCCUUGACCAAAGGCAAAACACGAAACAAAGAAAAAAACUCCCGGAAAACUACGUAGAACAGGAACUUUUUGAGCUGGAACAACCAUUUGCAAACGUCAAGCCUUUUUGAAACCAGUGAUCUCUUUUUUAUA
rnacentral:sRNA from 1 species